rnacentral:rRNA from 1 species
GCAGUCGAACGAAGUUGUUUUAACUGGGUGCUUGCACCGACUUAAACAACUGAGUGGCGAACGGGUGAGUAACACGUGGGUAACCUGCCCCAAAGUGGGGGAUAACAUUUGGAAACAGAUGCUAAUACCGCAUAACCACAGAAACCUCAUGGUUUCUGUGUCAAAGAUGGUUUCGGCUAUCACUUUGGGAUGGACCCGCGGCGUAUUAGCUAGUUGGUAAGGUAACGGCUUACCAAGGCAAUGAUACGUAGCCGAACUGAGAGGUUGAUCGGCCACAUUGGGACUGAGACACGGCCCAAACUCCUACGGGAGGCAGCAGUAGGGAAUCUUCCACAAUGGACGAAAGUCUGAUGGAGCAACGCCGCGUGAGUGAAGAAGGUUUUCGGAUCGUAAAACUCUGUUGUCAGAGAAGAACGUGUGCGAGAGUAACUGUUCGUGCAGUGACGGUAUCUGACCAGAAAGCCACGGCUAACUACGUGCCAGCAGCCGCGGUAAUACGUAGGUGGCAAGCGUUGUCCGGAUUUAUUGGGCGUAAAGGGAACGCAGGCGGUUUUUUAAGUCUGAUGUGAAAGCCUUCGGCUUAACCGAAGUCGUGCAUUGGAAACUGGAGAACUUGAGUGCAGAAGAGGAGAGUGGAACUCCAUGUG